UUGUGGCCAAUGUUUCCAACCACACAACUUAUACCAAGUUUCUCAUGUCAUGCUACUUGUACCAAUCUAAUUGCAAUGUAUCACUAAAAAUUAGAAACAAGAAAAAGGAAACAUAGAGAGAAAGAGAAGAAACUUGUGGAAAAAAAGAAGAAAAAGGAACUUGAAGAACUUAGAGCUUGGGUUUUCUUCGUCAUUUCAUCUCAUCAUUUCUCAACAACUUCUUCAUCUCUUUAGCAAGGUGGAUUUUAGGUAGUUCUGAGCAGGUGAAGGGUAAGGACAAGAUAGCUUGAUGUCCUUACUUGUUUGAUGUUUUUGAUGGCUUUUUCUGAUGUGUAGACAUCUCUCUUGAGAUCAUUAUAUAAUGAUCUAGUUCCUAGUUUAUAUUUUUGGGCACACUUGUAUAUAUUGUGCCAUGUUUGUAUUCAUUUUGGGCAUGUAAUAUGUACAAUGUUGCCACUAGGCACUUAUGUAUUUCAGUACCAACAUUACAACUAUGUAUAAUAGGUAAUUCUAUGCAUGUAUUAUAUAUGGAUGUUACAUUUAGAUUCAA